GCCGGGUGCGGUGGCUCACACCUGUAAUCCCAGAACUUUGGGAGGCUGAGGCGGGUGGAUCACUUGAGGUCAGGAGUUUGAGACCAGCCUGGCCAACAUGGUGAUACCCUGUCUCUA
ensembl:misc_RNA Metazoa_SRP Metazoan signal recognition particle RNA